rnacentral:rRNA from 1 species
UACGGAGGAUGCGAGCGUUAUCCGGAUUUAUUGGGUUUAAAGGGUGCGUAGGCGGCGCUUCAGGUCAGCGGUGAAAUACCGGGGCUCAACCCCGGGGCUGCCGUUGAAACUGGCGGCCUCGAGUGGGCGAGAAGUAUGCGGAAUUCGUGGUGUAGCGGUGAAAUGCAUAGAUAUCACGAAGAACCCCGAUUGCGAAGGCAGCAUACCGGCGCUCAACUGACGCUCAUGCACGAAAGUGUGGGUAUCGAACAGG